rnacentral:rRNA from 1 species
UACGAGGGGGCGAGCGUUGUUCGGAAUUAUUGGGCGUAAAGGGUGCGUAGGCGGUUCCGCAAGUCCUGUGUGAAAUCUUCGGGCUCAACUCGAAGUCUGCACGGGAAACUGCGGGGCUUGAGUGUGGGAGAGGUGAGUGGAAUUCCCAGUGUAGCGGUGAAAUGCGUAGAUAGUCGGGAGGAACACCUGUGGCGAAAGCGGCUCACUGGACCAUAACUGACGCUGAUGCACGAAAGCUGGGGGAGCAAACAGG